GGUCUUCGUCAUCAGAGAUAAAGAAAGUGAGGGUGAGAGAAGAAGAGCAGCUAAGAGGGUGAGAGAAAUUUGUGAGGAAAAAAAAUAAAAAAUAAAAAACUAUUGAAACAUGUAACUAACAAGAAAAGUAGUUAAUAAUAUUAAUUAUGUUGAAAAUGAUAUGUUUAUAGUUGAUUAAUAAAACAAUUAAUCCAGGUGUUCGCACGUUUUCUUUCGAUGAACUAGCAAAUGCAACUGAUUAUUUCUCCGACGACAAUCGCAUUGGCACGGGUACUUUUGGUGAAGCUUUCAAAGGAAAACUUGGGAAUGAAACCGUUGCGAUUAAGAAGCUUAGAUCUCAGAAUAAAAAGGAGGAAGUGCAAUAUGCAAGAGAUCAAUUUAAGAAGGGGGCUGAAAUCCUUAGCGGUAUCGAUCCUCACAAAAAUAUUGUCAAGGUGCUAGGAUACUGCAGUCAUAAAGCCAAUAGAUUGCUUGUUUAUGAGUUUCUUCCCAACAACUCAUUGCUUUCUCAUUUGCAUGGAAAUGAAAAGCCGACACUUAAUUGGUCAAACAGAUGGAAUAUUGCUUUCGGCAUUGCAGAAGGAUUAGCAUAUUUACAUGAAUAAUGUGAGUAUUUAGCGUUUGUUGAAUUUCAUUGGUAUCUUGAAUUUCAUUUCAUACUUCUUUUAUGAUAUUUAUUUAUGUUUUUAGGUAAGCCCAAAGUUAGCCAUCGUGAUAUUAAGAGUGCUAAUAUUCUUCUUGAUGAUAAAUUUGUAACAAAGAUUGCAGAUUUUGGA